AUGCAAAAAAAAAUGAUGCCGGAAAUCCCCCUUAAAAAUCACUUGUUCAGUUGUUCCACAAGUGUCAUUUUGUUUGAUCGAGACCACACCACAUUUACAACGGUGCAUCAAAAUGCCAAAGCGCACACAAUAGACCGACCCUUUUUUUUUGAGGGGGAUAGACCGACCCAUCUGAUCGUCGAAGUACAAGGAACCAAACUGGAAAGCCGUUUCCCUGACCGACUAGUUCGCCUUCUUCGUAGUGGAGCCGGCGGGCUUCUGCGCCCCGCAGAAGGCCUCCCGGUUGGCGGCGGCGCCGCCGCGCACGAUGUAGUGGCCGAGCGACGGCGUGGUGGUCCCCUCCACGCGGUUCUCGUCGCAGAGGAACUCCCGCGCGCACACGCUCUCCACCUCCCGCUCGUAGUCGUGCACCAGCACGUCCGUCACCGUCCCCUUGGUCCGCGCCAUCACUGCCGACGAGUAGAUCGCCGCCAUCCUGCCCGGCGACCCCUCGGCGUACCCGUGCGGCCCGUCGACGAGGAUGACGUCCCAGGCGACGUCGUAGAGCUGGUUGGGCAGGUCGCCGAUGGCGAGGCUGCAGUCGGAGAAGAGCAGGUUCUGGACGGGGCGGCACUCGGCGCGCCGGGACGCGCGCGCGGUGUCGAGGAGGUCUGGGAGCUCGCGCACGGCGGUGGCGUAGGCGACGUCGUACGCCUCCAGCCCACCGUGAGCAGGGACGCGCAGGUGAAGAGCGCGAGGAACGCGACGAGCCAGAAGCGGCGCCAGGAGAUGGAUGUGGCCGUCGCCGGCGACACCGCCCCGUUACCGUACUUGCUCGACGGCUGGCGGACGAGGAGCAGCUUCGUCCCGGACAUCGCCUUCAUCUCUCCCUACCAAACCAAUGAGCAGAGCAGGCAGCUGGAGUGGCUGGUGCUCGAGUUCUUGUGCCCCUGUGUUUCCUACACCAUUUUAUGCGUGUGA
rnacentral:rRNA from 1 species